rnacentral:rRNA from 1 species
GAUGAACGCUGGCGGCGUGCUUAACACAUGCAAGUCGAACGAAGCACUUAUGAUUGAGAUUUCGGUUGAUUGACUAAGUGACUUAGUGGCGGACGGGUGAGUAACGCGUGGGUAACCUGCCUCGUACAGGGGGAUAGCAGUUGGAGACGACUGGUAAUACCGCAUAAGCGCACAGUACCGCAUGGGUACAGUGUGAAAAACUCCGGUAGGUGUGAGAUGGACCCGCGUCUGAUUAGCUAGUUGGUAAGGUAACGGCUUACCAAGGCGACGAUCAGUAAGCCGACCUGAGAGGGUGACCGGCCACAUUGGGACUGAGACACGGCCCAG